rnacentral:rRNA from 1 species
CCUACGGGCGGCAGCAGUGGGGAAUAUUGCACAAUGGGGGAAACCCUGAUGCAGCGACGCCGCGUGAGUGAAGAAGUAUUUCGGUACGUAAAGCUCUAUCAGCAGGGAAGAAAAUGACGGUACCUGACUAAGAAGCCCCGGCUAACUACGUGCCAGCAGCCGCGGUAAUACGUAGGGGGCAAGCGUUAUCUGGAUUUACUGGGUGUAAAGGGAGCGUAGACGGCAAUGCAAGCCAGGAGUGAAAGCCCGGGGCCCAACCCCGGGACUGCUCUUGAAACUGCAUGGCUGGAGUACAGGAGGGGAAGGCGGAAUUCCUGGUGUAGCGGUGAAAUGCGUAGAUAUUAGGAGGAACACCGGUGGCGAAGGCGGCCUGCUGGACUGUGACUGACGUUGAGGCCCGAAGGCGUGGGGAGCAAACAGGAUUAGAUACCCUAGUAGUC